AGGAAGAAUGUCCAGCGCUGGUUGCCCUGGCCCACCACAGCUCUCUGCAGACCCUCUGCCCAGCCCAGCCUUUGCCUGCAUAGUAACAGAGGGACAAGUCAUCCACAUGGGACUACAGGAAACAAAAGGAGAGAGAACCACUACUCCUGUCAUCCUUUGCCUUUCCAGAAAGAGGAUAAAGGCCAAAGACUGAACCGGAGCGCUCAGUAAGCAAAGGUGGUAGAAGAUGAGUGGUGGUUUUGCCAUCACUCCUAGGCAUUUCUUCCUCCUCAGCACUGCUAUCUAUUCGAAAGUUGCUUGCAAAGCCCGAGAAAGGUGCAAUUGUAUUUGCAGCCAGCCGUGAUGCAUGGGAGCUUCCACUGUGCUUGAUUUCACGUUCUCCGACUAAGCCUGCGUAGGCACUAUUC